rnacentral:sRNA from 1 species
UUCCGGUGAAUUAAGUAGAUGGAGAAAUAAAUUAGAGAAAGGCUAGAACCGCCUGAGUUGUAGAAAGGAUCAUUGUCAGUGUGGUCAGCAGAUGAGAAGCAGUGUAGGUUGUCUAGUCAGGAAGAAUUUGUGUGAGGAAACUGUGGAAAGAGUCGUUCCUAUUAGUGGAAGCCAUUCCUGGUAGUUUAUGUAGUCUAUCGUUGGUUGAGACGACGAGGAGAAGGUAGAGAGCGGCAAGUACUGUGACCUGUGUUAGCGCCAAGUACUGUGACCUGUGUUAGCGGCAAGUACUGUGACCUGUAUUAGCGGCAAGAACUGUGACCUGUGUUAAUGGUUUGGAAGAUGGACGCUCAAAGACAGAUGCUAUAUUUGAAUCAUACACUAAACAAGUCUCUACACUUAUACCCACAUCCCGAAGUCUG